rnacentral:lncRNA from 1 species
AGGAAUACGAAGAGAGAAUUUCAGAACUCAUCAAGAAUUUGAAGAUCAAAGAUGAUGAGAAAGAGCUACUUUCAAAGGAAUACGAAGAGAAAAUUUCAGAACUCAACAAGAAUUCAAAAAUCAAAGAUAAUGAGAAAGAGCUACUUUCAAAGGAAUACGAAGAGAAAAUUUCAGAACAAAUCAAGAAUAUGAAGAUCAAAGAUGAUGAGAAAGAGCUACUUUCAAAGGAAUACGAAGAGAAAAUUUCAGAACUCAACAAGAAUUUGAAAAUCAAAGAUGGUGAGAAAGAGCUACUUUCAAAGGAAUACGAAGAGAAAAUUUCAGAACUCAUCAAGAAUUCAAAAAUCAAAGAUAAUGAGAAAGAGCUACUUUCAAAGGAAUACAAAGAGAGAAUUUCAGAACUCAUCAAGAAUUUGAAGAUCAAAGAUGAUGAGAAAGAGCUACUUUCAAAGGAAUACGAAGAGAAAAUUUCAGAACAAAUCAAGAAUUCGAAGAUCAAAGAUGAUGAGAAAGAACUACUUUCAAAGGAAUACGAAGAGAAAAUUUCAGAACAAAUCAAGAAUAUGAAGAUCAAAGAUGAUGAGAAAGAGCUACUUUCAAAGGAAUACGAAGAGAAAAUUUCAGAACUCAUCAAGAAUCUGAAGAUCAAAGAUGAUGAGAAAGAGCUGCUUUCAAAGGAAUACGAAGAGAAAAUUUCAGAAGCCGUCAAAAAUGU